AUGCAGCGACGCCGCGUGAGCGAGAGGUUUUCGAAUCGUAAAGCUCUGUCCUAUGAGAAGAUAAUGACGGUAUCAUAGGAGGAAGCCCCGGCUAAAUACGUGCCAGCAGCCGCGGUAAUACGUAUGGGGCGAGCGUUGUCCGGAAUUAUUGGGCGUAAAGGGUACGUAGGCGGUUUUUUAAGUCAGGUGUGAAAGCGUGAGGCUUAACCUCAUUAAGCACUUGAAACUGGAAGACUUGAGUGAAGGAGAGGAAAGUGGAAUUCCUAGUGUAGCGGUGAAAUGCGUAGAUAUUAGGAGGAAUACCGGUGGCGAAGGCGACUUUCUGGACUUUUACUGACGCUCAGGUACGAAAGCGUGGGGAGCAAACA
rnacentral:rRNA from 1 species